CUUCCAGUAGCGCCUUAGAGACCAACUAAGUUUGUUAUUGGUACGAGCUUUCGUGUGCAUGCACUGAACGAGCUUUUUUCGUGCAUGCACACGACUCAUACAAAUAACAAACUUAGUUGGUCUCUAAGGUGCUACUGGAAU